rnacentral:rRNA from 1 species
UACGUAGGGGGCAAGCGUUGUUCGGAUUUACUGGGCGUAAAGGGCGCGUAGGCGGUUUGGUAAGUUACUUGUGAAAUCUCCGGGCUUAACUCGGAACGGUCAAGUAAUACUGCCGAACUAGAGUGCAGAAGGGGCAAUCGGAAUUCUUGGUGUAGCGGUGAAAUGCGUAGAUAUCAAGAGGAACACCAGAGGCGAAGGCGGAUUGCUGGGCUGACACUGACGCUGAGGCGCGAAAGCUAGGGGAGCAAACAGG